AGAGCGAACGCUGGCGGCAUGCCUAACACAUGCAAGUCGAACGAGACCUUCGGGUCUAGUGGCGCACGGGUGCGUAACGCGUGGGAAUCUGCCCUUGGGUUCGGAAUAACAGUUGGAAACGACUGCUAAUACCGGAUGAUGACGUAAGUCCAAAGAUUUAUCGCCCAGGGAUGAGCCCGCGUAGGAUUAGCUAGUUGGUGAGGUAAAGGCUCACCAAGGCGACGAUCCUUAGCUGGUCUGAGAGGAUGAUCAGCCACACUGGGACUGAGACACGGCCCAGACUCCGUACGGGAGGCAGCA
rnacentral:rRNA from 1 species